rnacentral:rRNA from 1 species
UUCCGGUUGAUCCUGCCAGAGGUCAUUGCUAUUGGGGUCCGAUUUAGCCAUGCUAGUUGCACGAGUUCAGACUCGUGGCGAAAAGCUCAGUAACACGUGGCCAAACUACCCUACAGAGAACGAUAACCUCGGGAAACUGAGGCUAAUAGUUCAUACGGGAGUCAUGCUGGAAUGCCGACUCCCCGAAACGCUCAGGCGCUGUAGGAUGUGGCUGCGGCCGAUUAGGUAGACGGUGGGGUAACGGCCCACCGUGCCGAUAAUCGGUACGGGUUGUGAGAGCAAGAGCCCGGAGACGGAAUCUGAGACAAGAUUCCGGGCCCUACGGGGCGCAGCAGGCGCGAAACCUUUACACUGCACGAAAGUGCGAUAAGGGGACCCCAAGUGCGAGGGCAUAUAGUCCUCGCUUUUCUCGACUGUAAGGCGGUCGAGGAAUAAGAGCUGGGCAAGACCGGUGCCAGCCGCCGCGGUAAUACCGGCAGCUCAAGUGAUGACCGAUAUUAUUGGGCCUAAAGCAUCCGUAGCCGGCUUUGCAAGUCUUCGGUUAAAUCCACCUGCUCAACAGAUGGGCCGCUGGAGAUACUACAGAGCUAGGGAGUGGGAGAGGCAGACGGUAUUCAGUGGGUAGGGGUAAAAUCCUCUGAUCCAUUGAGGACCACCAGUGGCGAAGGCGGUCUGCCAGAACACGUUCGACGGUGAGGGAUGAAAGCUGGGGGAGCAAACCGGAUUAGAUACCCGGGUAGUCCCAGCUGUAAACGAUGCAAACUCGGUGAUGCAUUGGCUUAUGGCCAAUGCAGUGCCGCAGGGAAGCCGUUAAGUUUGCCGCCUGGGAAGUACGGACGCAAGUCUGAAACUUAAAGGAAUUGGCGGGGGAGCACCACAAGGGGUGAAGCCUGCGGUUCAAUUGGAGUCAACGCCGGA